UACGCAGGGAGCGAGCGUUGUCCGGAUUUACUGGGUGUAAAGGGUGCGUAGGCGGCUCUGCAAGUCAGGCGUGAAAACUAUGGGCUUAACUCAUAGACUGCGUUUGAAACUGUGGGGCUUGAGUGAAGUAGAGGUAGGCGGAAUUCCCGGUGUAGCGGUGAAAUGCGUAGAGAUCGGGAGGAACACCAGUGGCGAAGGCGGCCUACUGGGCUUUAACUGACGCUGAGGCACGAAAGCAUGGGUAGCAAACAGA
rnacentral:rRNA from 1 species